rnacentral:rRNA from 1 species
GCACGUGAAAUUGUUGAAAGGGAAAGCGUUGUGACCAGACUUGCGCCCGGUGAAUCAUCCAGCUCUCUGCGCUGGUGCACUUUGCCGGGCUCAGGCCAGCAUCGGUCUCCUUUAGGGGGAUAAAAGCUCCGGGAACGUAGCUCUUUCGGGAGUGUUAUAGCCCGCUGCAGAAUACCCCUCGGGGGACCGAGGUUCGCGCUCCGCAAGGAUGCUGGCGUAAUGGUUACCAACGGCCCGUCUUGAAACACGGACCAAGGAGUCAAGCAUUAGGGCGAGUGUUUGGGUGUCAAACCCGCACGCGUAAUGAAAGUGAAUGCAGGUGAGAGCUUCGGCGCAUCAUCGACCGAUCCUGAUGUAUUCGGAUGGAUUUGAGUAAGAGCCUUACCGCUUGGACCCGAAAGAUGGUGAACUAUGCCUGUAUAGGGUGAAGCCAGAGGAAACUCUGGUGGAGGCUCGCAGCGGUUCUGACGUGCAAAUCGAUCGUCAAAUAUGGGCAUGGGGGCGAAAGACUAAUCGAACUAUCUAGUAGCUGGUUGCUGCCGAAGUUUCCCUCAGGAUAGCAGUGUUGUUUUCAGUUUUAUGAGGUAAAGCGAAUGAUUAGGGACUCGGGGGCGCUAUUUAGCCUUCAUCCAUUCUCAAACUUUAAAUAUGUAAGAAGCCCUUGUUACUUUAGUGAACGCGGGCCUUCGAAUGUAUCAACACUAGUGGGCCAUUUUUGGUAAGCAGAACUGGCGAUGCGGGAUGAACCGAACGCGGGUUUAAGGUGCCAGAGUGGACGCUCAUCAGACACCACAAAAGGCGUUAGUACAUCUUGACAGCAGGACGGUGGCCAUGGAAGUCGGAAUCCGCUAAGGACUGUGUAACAACUCACCUGCCGAAUGUACUAGCCCUGAAAAUGGAUGGCGCUCAAGCGUCCCACCCAUAACCCGCCCUUAGGGUAGAAACGAUGCCCUAAGGAGUAGGCAGCCGUGGAGGUUUGUGACGAAGCCU